AGAGGAAGGAGCUUGCUGGUCUCGGGCGCCCGCAUCUCUCUUCACCCGGGAACGUGCUGGGACGGGCCGUGGGCGGCCUGGGCUCGGGCCCCAGUCUUCCCCUCCCCGCUCCGAAUCUCCGGGAAUCCUAGUGUCACUCGAGGAUGCUGGGCGGGAGGAACUCUGGGUUGACCGCUCCGUUAGGAAACGGCCCUGAAAUCCAGAUCCAGGCGUCCCGGGCAGGGGUCAGAGACUCAGGGCGCCCGGAAGCUGCCGCACGCCUUGCUGAGGAGUCCAGUGCUACGUUACUUGAAGGACCCUAGCCUUCCGGGCCCCCAAACGUGGCACAUGUGUGAAGAAUAACUAAGCUCACCCCUUGCCUAGCUCUGCAGCCACGUUUUUCAGGACUGAAGCUCACAGGACCUGCCGUGCAGGACAAGAAGGUCUUGGGCCCCACCCGUGCACAGCACAAGAAAGUGUUGGAAAGUCCUCCCGGAACUUUUUACUGCCAUAGUGGUGAAUGGAACACGCCAGCCAUGUAAAGAGGCCCACAGGGCAGAAAACCUUGCUGUUUUACUUUUCCUGUGAUCUGCUGACUACAUGCAGGCAGAACAGGAGACAGAUUUUCCGACAGUGAUCAAGGAACCUGAGCAUCUUGGAGGAGGCAUGGAGUCAAUGGAAGGCUUGGAUUCCACAAAUCCUUAUGUAGAUGGGCAGAGUCCAAAUGGUCAGGACCUGCACUUAUGCAUGGGGUCGGUGCAUAAGAGGUGCGAAUCACAAUCCUGGUCUGCUGCUGGGGCCCAGCUCUUAUGAACACCUAUAUGAACAGGGGUACAGCCAAGGUUAGACCAUCCUGUGAUAGUUCAGAAAGUCACCUGUCCCUGUGAUGGCAGCCAGGACACAUGGAAACCAUCAGUUAGUCGAAGUAUUUACUAAGCACCCUCUGGGUACAAAGCUAGUGAGGAACAAAACCACAUCUGAAAAGGAGAAGGCAUGGGGAAUACCCUGGUGUUAGGAAACAGUCACCUGCUGAUUGACUCAUCUUGCUGUGAGUAGAAAGCUUUCCCCUAAGGAAGGGCAAGAUGUGCCUCUAGGAAAAUUGUCCAGGACAGGACAAAAGUCUCUCUUUCAAUACCACACAUGCUGUCAGAGGUAACUUUAGGCUUAAUAACCACCGGGGAAAAGAAUCUAUCUCAAGAUGAUAAAGGGAGGUAGAUGCAGGUUGUAGGAGGCUAGAAGUAGGAGGAGAUGGAAAGGAAGAUUCUCUCUCAAUCUCUCUGUCUCUGUCUCUCUGUCUCUCUCUCUCUCUGUCUCUCUGUCUCUCUCUCUCUCUCUCUCUCUCUCUCUCUCACACACACACACACACACACACACACACACUAGGAUAGUGCUCUAGCACUCCACACUCCCAGCCCAUAUCCCAUUUGUAAGCAAGUCUCUUUAUGUGGCUUGACUGAUUAAAUCAUUGGCCAUUGAUAAUUAACUCAAUCUGCAGCCCCCUUCCCCUUCCUGAAGAUUGGUGGGUAAGGCUGGAAAUCCCAACCUUCUCAUCUUGCCUCAGUCUUUCUGGCUCCCAUCCUGAAUCCUCAGCCACCAUAGACAAAUGACCCUGGAGAUUCCAAGGGUCUUAGAAGUUCUUGUGUUGGGAUCAGGAAACUAAGACUACACAUUGUACCAAAAAGACACUCUGAUCACCCCAAUCACUCAGACAUAAGAGCUUUGGGAGUGCUAUGGCAGGGACUGGAAACAGAGACCAAGUGGCUAUUUCUUGCCAUGUCAUAUAGAAGAUGCAGAAAAUCUGAUGUUGUGACUGUUGUUGGUUAUAAAAUCUUAGGAAACUUCCCUCUCCUCAAUUGCCUCAUAAUUAAAUAAGAAGAUCAUGCCUCCCCUCUCCCUCUACUCCUAAUUUCCUGACAUAUGCCAGAAACAGUAGAGAUUAAGACACAACCUUGACCCCCAGGAGCUAAGGUCUUAGGAUGUUGGAGAUAAGUAUCAUCUUUGUUCCCUUCUAACACUAAAAUCUGUGGAAAAGUAUAGCAUGUCUCCUGAUUAAAUCAAAGUUUUUUGGGGGGUGUUUUUUUUCUUUACUUGAACCCAGGGCUUCACACAUGGGAGAUGAGAUGAGUGCUCAGCCACUGAGCUACACCCUCAACCCUCUAUUUCAGUUUUAAUUAGCAUGAAUUUAUAUCAACCAUUGCAUAAGUUGGACGAAACACCACUGUUGUUCUUUGACAUCCUAAACUAGGAAUGUUACCAAAACUCUCUCUUAAUGCUUAUUGGACUUCCAAGUCAAUCCUGAGUCUUGUGGAUAUGAAACUCAUUCGAAGGGUAAAGAUCAUGCAUCGAAGCAACAGGAUUACAAAUAAACACCACCGCUGAAUCAGAAUUGGAAAGAAGUCUCAUCUAAAAUAUGAAAAAUGGAUGCUAUAGAAUUUUUAAAAUUUUAUGUUUCUGAUUAAAUGUGAUCUAAGGAUGGCUAUUA